GUAGAAACCUGGCUGAAAACAAACCCAGAUAAGAAAAAUCUGUCCCAGAGACCAGCAGGAGAAAGAAGCAAUAAAAACAUAGGAAAAGAAAAAGAAAUGUUAGAUUUUACAUGUUCCUGCUAAAAAUCACCUGUUCCCAUUACCGUCGAAGAGAUGUGCUCGAUUCUCUGAAGUCAGUGCUUCUUCCUGAGUAAGUCUUUAAUUCUGCAUUUUAUUUAAUCAAAAUUUUCUUUGGGAGUCAAUACCUGACAGAAACCAGGGAUGUAUUGAUUAUAUGUUGAUGUAGGAGGGACAUCUGUCUAUUUGUUACUUUCAUUUGUUAAUUAAUAAAGAAAACUGCUUGGCCUGAUAUGUCAGAACAUAGGUAGGUGGGAAAGACAGAACAGAAUGCUGGGAGGAAGAAGGCAGUGAGGCAGAUGCUAUGAGCUCUAGCCCAAGAUGGAUGUAGGCUAAAAUCUUCCCGGUAAACCACCACUUCGUGGUUCUACACACAUUAAUAGAAAUGGGUUAAUCAAGAAGUGAGAGUUAGCCAGUAAGAGACUGGAGAUAAUGGGCCAGGCAGUGUUUAAAAGAAUACGAUUUUCCUGUAAUUUUUUCGGGUAAAGCUAGAUGGGAGCUGGGCCGCAGCCUGACACUCCAGAUCACUACAAUAUGUGCCAUUGGAGGAGCCAGUAUGGCAAUUGCUGUGUUGGAGAAUAGAUUCAGGCAUCUCAGACUCAGAAAAUUUCAAGUGGCAGAUAGCCAAUCAUGUGUUUAGAGAAUAUGACACAGCUUUUCUGAAUAUGAUGCCAGUAAGGUGCAAUUGGCAAUGCAGUAUCACAAUCAGCCAUCAGCAGGUAUAAAUGAAGGACUUCAGGUGAUAGGCAGGAUACAGACCCAAAAAUUGGGAUAAAUAAUCACCUCCUAGUUACCUCGCAAUGCUUUCCUCUUUUGAUAACUGCAUUCUGGUCUGAGGUAAAAUGAAUAUUUUUCCUGUCAUCCACACUCACUUUCAUUUUUUUUUUCCCGCCAGACCACACAGAUGGGAGAGAGAAAUGAGUCAACAGCUUUGAUGGAGAUCUCCAGGGUUAUCACACCAUUUGUUCCUAUUGGUGGAAUUGAGAUUAUUCUCCCCAUUGGUUCAUAUACAGGAAAAUUUGAAUGCACACACUGUUUAAGUCAGAGGCAAGGAGAGCUAUAACAUUUUUAGCAUAGUGAGUCCUUAUUAUUCAAACUCUGGUUAUAUUCCAGUUCUCAGCUGUCAUGUUUAUAACUGAACCUGAAUGUCCAUUUGCCUACACAAGGCAGACUGCUCUUAAAACCUAAAUGAGACAAAGCCGAAGAAAUUAGCAAAGUCAGGUAUUGUUUUAUUUCAAGUAUUACUGUUCUGAGUCACCUGUUACUGUCUCUUGUGCAGCAAGUAGCUCCCUGCUUCGGAAACCUCUGAUUCUCUUGAAACAUUAGGCAACACUCUUUCAGUCUUGAAACACUGCGGUGUCUGCAAUGAAAUAAUUCACUUCAGGUUUUAGCAUCUGACAGAAUUUAGGGGAGUCAUGUUCUUUCCUCUCCAAGAUAUAUUGCAGGAAUGGGAAUGGCAUUGUACUGUUUUUUCACGAAAACUUGGAGUCAUUGAAAAUACUAAGAAGUUACAUCUGAAGGCAGUAACCUACCUGUCACCAAAGACUCUCAAGGAUUCUGAGACUCAUCUUUUGUUCUUCCCAGCUAUGUGGAAGUAGGUUCCCUGGCCGAAUCUAAUACUGACUAGGCCCAGCUCUUAAUCUGCUCCUCCAAAGCAUUCUCAGAAUAUGAUGCAACUUUCUCAAGGACACCAGCAAAUCCUGGCGUACGAAGUUGCUAUCACACCAG